CACCCCCAGGUGAGCAUCUGACAGCGUGGAGCAGCGCCCACACCCCCAGGUGGGCAUCUGACAGCCUGGAGCAGGCGCCCACAAUCCCAGGUUAGCAUCUGACAGCCUGGAGCAGCACCCACACCCCCAGUUGAGUAGCUGACAUCCUGGAGCUGCACCCAUACCCCCAGGUGAGAUCUGACAGCCUGGGGCAGCACCCACACCCCCAGGUGAGCAUCUGGCAACCUGGAACAGCAUCUACAGCCCCAGGUGACCAUCUGACAGCCUGAAGCAGCACCCACACCCCCAGGUGAGCAUGUGACCACAUGCAAUGUCAUCCUCACCUCCAGGUGAGCAUCGGACAGCCUGGAACAGAAUUCUCAAGCCCCAGGUGAGGAUCUGACAACCUGGAACAGAACCCCACUCUUCCAGGUGAGAAUAUGACAGCCUGAAACAGCACCCCGCACCCAGGCAAAAAUCUGACAGCAUGGAACAAGACUACUGCCCCCAGGUGAACAUCUGAUAGCCUGGAACAGAACCCCAGGCCUCCCAGUAAGCAUCUGAAAGCAAGGAACAGCACUCUCACCCCCAGGGGAGCAUCUGACAACCUAGAACAGCACCCUCACCCCGAGGUGGGCAUCUGGCAGCAUAAAACAGCACCCCUACUGGCAGAUGAGCAUAUGACAGCCUGGAACAGCACCCACACCCGCUGGCGAGAAUCUGACAGCCUGGAGCAACACCCACACCCCCAGGUGAG
rnacentral:lncRNA from 1 species